GUCUUUUUCAAAAAUCAGAUGACCUUAUAAGAGUUGGUCUAUUUCUUGGAUCUCUAUUCUUUUCCAUAAAUUUAUUUGUACCAAUAUCACACUAUCUUAAUUACUGUUAGUUAGCUUUCUGUUACUGCAACAAAUACUUGAGAAAACCAACUUAUGAAGAAAGAAGGUUUAUUUUGGCUCACUGUUUUAGAGGUUUUAGUCCAUAAUUGACUGAAGCUUUUAGCCUUUUGGCUGGGGAAUAAAAAAUCAGGGUAGAGCAUGUGGGAGAAUCAAAAACCAUUUACCUCAGGGUCAAGACACAAACAAAAGAAAGAGGAAGAGACCAGGGGCCCACAAUUUCUUUCAAGAACACACCUGCAAUGACCUAACACUUUCCUGCACCAUGGGAGGGGGAAUAAGUCUUUAACACAUGGGCCUUGGGGGACAUUCCAAAUUAAACUAUAGCAAUUAAUUAUUUUUUAAAAAUCUGGAAGUCAGAUACUUAAAGUUCUCUAACUUUGCUCUUUUUCAAAGGUGCUUUUAAUAUACUAGUUUUUAAAAAUUUCCUUGUUUUAGAAGUAGUUUGUCCAUUUUUGCAAAACUCCUUGUAGGAUUAUGAUUAGAAGUGAAUUGCAUCAAUUGAUCAGCUUGGGACAUUUAAUAUCUUAACAUGGGUAUCAUACUAAUGUCAUAAACAUGGCAUGUCUCUGCUUAUUCAGACCUUUAGUUAUAUUCAAGAUCUUCUUUUUAGUUAUUCAUUGCAAGUUGUACUUUUUUUUUUUUACUAAAUUUAUUCCUAAG
rnacentral:lncRNA from 1 species